CUUUAUACUUUAAUAUAUUUUAUUCUGUCAGUGAUGAAACACUUUAAAGUUUCUUUCUGCAGUGUUUUCAGCUGAGCAGGAAAACUAAAAGCACCCUAAAAGUGUUUUUCAUUCAUCUUUACAGCCAUUCUCCUUAGGUUUUUCUGCCUUAUUUACUGUAUAUGGAUAUAAAUUGCCCACAAAACCACAGAAGGGAGAAGGAAAUAAAUCCCUUUGUAGUGCCCACCCCGCUCUAAACAUACCUAGCACAAAAAAUCCCUGCACCUGUCCAUCUGAAAUUUUCCAGGUUUCUUACCAAGAAACACUUCUACGUUUUCAUACAAACUGACCCCAGAAUAGGGAAGGUUAAGUUACACCUUUUAAAAACUACCCUCAAACUUGCAGGAAAAGCCAUCCUCAAAUUUGGUGGGAAUUAUCUUCUGGGAAGGAACCUCUAGGCCUGAAAAUUUCAUCCAGUUCUGCCAGAAAAGUCUGUUAAAAUAAUAAUAAUAAUAAGCCAAUGUAUCAAAGAUGCCCAACACACAUACAAAAGUCUCCAGUUAUUGAUCUGGAAUUUGACAAGCUUCAUCCUCUCAGAAAGAAAGGAUAUCAUUCAAUUCUGUCCAAAAAAAAGGGGGGGAUGGUCAACUCACACAGGGAGAUCAAGAAAUGGCUAUAACAUUUCCCCCUCUUUUUGGAGGGUAGUAAAAAAAAUGGAUUUACUUCGUCUUCCCUAUUCUGCAGUCCAUUUGUAUGAAAAGGGGGGUAAGAAAGCAGUCUGGAGUGGUCUGAGCUGAACUGCUCUGCUUUCCAAAGCACCCAAUCUGCAUACCAGCCAAAUCUUUCAAACUAUGCAGGCUCCAAAUUAGAUGGAACUGCCAGAUAGUUCUAUCGAUCAUCAGUUCUAUCAAUCAAAUACAAUUAAAUAACCUGCGAACUAUCAAAUAUUAUUAAAUAGCAAGGCAUGCCAGCUUUCUCGACACACCAUAUUGUUUUCAAACUUUUUCUCAGGGGACCCCAAGUUGUUUCGAAUCUUAUGGCUUGUUCCGUAGUGAGGACAGAUCCACAAUGGCCUUCCUUGAAAGACAGUGGCUAAAGGCUGCUACUGAUCUUCUUUUGCAUUUGUGCAGCCGCAAGGGAAUGUUGGGUGCGUUUGAGGGCACAACCCCUAGUCCAUGGUGUGCAAGAGAAAAUCCCAAGAGUGCCCUUGCGUCACUGACUCUGCCCUCGCUCUAGGGAAUGCCCCCAGAAUCCUUUGCAACUUGUUUGGAGUCCUUGGCCAAACAGCUGAUGCCACAAUGUUCCCUGAAGGUUAUGAAAGGUUAUGGGGCUGUGGUCUAAACCAUUGAGCCUCCUGGGCAUAGGUAGGCAAACUAAAGCCCAGGGGCUGGAUUCGGCCCAAUCGCCUUCUAAAUACGGCCCACAGACGGUCCGGGAAUCAGCAUGUUUUUACCUGAGUAGAAUGUGCCCUUUUAUUUAAAAUGCAUCUCUGAGUUAUUUGUGGGGCCUGCCUGGUGUUUUUACACGAGGAGAAUGUGUGCUUUGAUUUAAAAUGCAUCUCUGGGUUAUUUGUGGGACAUAGGAAUUCGUUCAUUCCCCCCCCCCCCGCAAAAUAUAGUCCAGUCCCCCACAAGGUCUGAGGGACGGUGGACCGGCCCCCUGCUGAAAAAGUUUGCUGACCCUUGCUCUUGGGCUUGCUGAUCGGAAGGUCAGCAGUUCGAAUCCCCGCAACGGAGAGAGCUCCCGUUGCUCUAUCCCAGCUCCUGCCAACCUAGCAGUUCGAAAGCACACCAGUGCAAGUAGAUAAAUAGAUACCGCUGCAGCAGGAAGGUAAACGGCGAUUCCAUGUGCUCUGGUUUCCAUUACAGUGUUCUGUUGCACCAGAAGCCGUUUAGUCCUGCUGGCCACAUGACCCGGAAAGCUGUCUGUGGACCAACGCCAGCUCCCUCCGCCUGAAAGCAAGAUGAGUGCCACAACCCCAGAGUCACCUUGGACUGGACUUAACCAUCCAGGUGUCCUGUACCUUUUUUUUAAUCUAUGAAAGGAGCCAAGGUGGGACUAGGAAGUAACCCUGCAAGCUUGCUGUCAGAUAUCUACUGAAGUAAAAUAUUACUGAGCAUGAACUAUGCACAUCAGAUAUUUAGAGAAUAUUAACAAUUGUAAAUAAUAAUUAUGAGAAUUUUUGGAAGCAACACUCUUGGGACAGGCAGAAAUUCAGCAGAUGAUGUUUUCCCCAUCGUUGCUACUGAAUUCUUAUUACCUAGCUCUUAAGACAUAGUGCCUCUUUUAAGAAACAAAAAACCCAAAACCUAUUCACGUGAAGAGUUAAGACACAACUAAACCCAGUGGAAUCAUUGCGCUGAAGCACACCAGCUCUUUAUAGGACUGGACUGUGAUCCAUCCAGCUCCUCUGAGCAAAUUGUAAUUCUGGAUAACAGGUCUACUCAGAUUGAAGUUUGCGUGUGAGAUGAUGAACUGUUUGGACAUGUAUCAUUCCUUUUACAGUUAAAGAAAGAUGGAUAAACAUUGCCUUGUGCAUAUUUUCUCAGAAGUAAAGCCCCUGGUGGUGUUCAGUGAGAGCCUACUCACAAACAAGUGUGCACAGAACCGCAGCCUCACUUUCCUGAGAAAAGAAUUACCUGGGGAAAGUAUGAAAGUCGAAUCAACUCCUGUUGAAGUGUAUUCAUUCUUCAGAUGUCUUAACGUUGUCGCUCAGAUACCUGUUUCGGAUAUGUAUGUGUUUAUGCGUAUGUCCUAUAUAAAAUUAUAAUGUAUUUUGUACUGAUAUGUAGAAAUUGAAGAAAGAAAUCUUCAUCACUUUUUAAUGAAGGAGAAUCUGCAACAGCACUAGUAUUUGAAAAUCACAGGUUUCGCAAGAAAAAUGAUAGAGCUUUUAAACUCUGUAAUCUAAAUGUGUUCUGGUGUGGGCAGUUCAUAUUGCACAAUAAACUCUUUUCACCUUA